rnacentral:tRNA from 1 species
AGCCCUGUAGUGUAGCGGCCAAUCAUACGAGACUCUGGAUCUUGUGACCGAGGUUCGAAUCCUCGCAGGGCUA